UCGAGAAUUUUUCUCAAUGGGGGAAACCCUGAAGGAGCGACGCCGCGUGGAGGAUGAAGGUCUUCGGAUUGUAAACUCCUGUCAUUCGAGAACAAGGCCUGCGAGUAACUAUUGUCAGGCUCGAUAGUAUCGAAAGAGGAAGGGACGGCUAACUCUGUGCCAGCAGCCGCGGUAAUACAGAGGUCCCGAGCGUUGUUCGGAUUCAUUGGGCGUAAAGGGUGCGUAGGCGGCAUGGCAAGUCGGGUGUGAAAUCCCGGGGCUCAACCCCGGAACUGCACUCGAUACUGCCGUGCUCGAGUACUGGAGAGGAGACUGGAAUUUACGGUGUAGCAGUGAAAUGCGUAGAUAUCGUAAGGAAGACCGGUGGCGAAAGCUAGUCUCUGGACAGUUACUGACGCUGAGGCACGAAGGCCAGGGGAGCAAACGGGAUUAGAUACCCGGGUAGUCC
rnacentral:rRNA from 1 species